rnacentral:rRNA from 1 species
AGAGUUUGAUCCUGGCUCAGGAUGAACGCUGGCGGCGUGCCUAACACAUGCAAGUUGAGCGAUUUACUUCGGUAAAGAGCGGCGGACGGGUGAGUAACGCGUGGGUAACCUACCCUGUACACACGGAUAACAUACCGAAAGGUAUGCUAAUACGGGAUAAUAUAUUUGAGAGGCAUCUCUUGAAUAUCAAAGGUGAGCCAGUACAGGAUGGACCCGCGUCUGAUUAGCUAGUUGGUAAGGUAACGGCUUACCAAGGCGACGAUCAGUAGCCGACCUGAGAGGGUGAUCGGCCACAUUGGAACUGAGACACGGUCCAAACUCCUACGGGAGGCAGCAGUGGGGAAUAUUGCACAAUGGGCGAAAGCCUGAUGCAGCAACGCCGCGUGAGUGAUGAAGGUCUUCGGGUCGUAAAACUCUGUCCUCAAGGAAGAUAAUGACGGUACUUGAGGAGGAAGCCCCGGCUAACUACGUGCCAGCAGCCGCGGUAAUACGUAGGGGGCUAGCGUUAUCCGGAUUUACUGGGCGUAAAGGGUGCGUAGGCGGUCUUUCAAGUCAGGAGUGAAAGGCUACGGCUCAACCGUAGUAAGCUCUUGAAACUGGGAGACUUGAGUGCAGGAGAGGAGAGUGGAAUUCCUAGUGUAGCGGUGAAAUGCGUAGAUAUUAGGAGGAACACCAGUUGCGAAGGCGGCUCUCUGGACUGUAACUGACGCUGAGGCACGAAAGCGUGGGGAGCAAACAGGAUUAGAUACCCUGGUAGUCCACGCUGUAAACGAUGAGUACUAGGUGUCGGGGGUUACCCCCNCUGGGCACCAAAAUGUGGCGGUAUAGCUUAGUUGGCUAGAGCGUUCGGUUCAUACCCGAAAGGUCAUAGGUUCGACUCCUAUUACCGCUACUAAAAUUUAAUGUGGGCCAUUAGCUCAGUUGGUUAGAGCGCCCGGCUCAUAACCGGUAGGUCUGGGGUUCGAGUCCCUGAUGGCCCACCACAUUAAAUUAACUUAUGGUGGGUAUAGCUCAGUUGGUUAGAGCGCCAGAUUGUGGCUCUGGAGGUCGUGAGUUCGACUCUCAUUAUCCACCCCAACUUAUAUGGUCUAUUAGCUCAGUCGGUAGAGCACCUGACUUUUAAUCAGGGUGUCCCGCGUUCGAGUCGCGGAUAGAUCACCAAAAAGGCGGCGACAUAGCCAAGUGGUAAGGCAGUGGACUGCAACUCCUUGAUCCCCAGUUCGAAUCUGGGUGUCGCCUCCAAUAAAAUGCGCUCAUAGCUCAACUGGAUAGAGUGUCUGACUACGAAUCAGAAGGUUAGGGGUUCGAGUCCCUUUGGGCGCACCAUAUGAAUAGCGAGGGAUUAUAGCUCAGCUGGGAGAGCACCUGCCUUACAAGCAGGGGGUCACAGGUUCGAGCCCUGUUAAUCCCACCAGUGCAAACCUCUAGUAAAACUACUAGAGGUUUUAUUUUUGAUUGAAAAAGUUUUUAUAUUUAGGAGGUAAAAAAUUUGUAUAUAGUAAUAGGAAAUGAAAUAGUUGAUAGUGAAGAACUUAAAAUAAUUAUAGAUAAAAAUAGUGAAUUUAAAGUUGAAAAAGAUUUAAGUAAAAGCACAAAAAGAGAAGAUGUAAUAGCAUAUCAGUUAAGUAUAGAUUUAAAUUACCUAGAUUCUCUUAUAAAUGAGCAAUGUAAUUUAGCCAGUCUAUCUGAUGAAGAGAAAUUUGAUGAAUAUAUGACUUUGUCUGAUGAACUUGCACUGGAUUUAGAAGAGUUAAUGCCAAAAUAUACAAUAAUAAAUGCUAGAGCAUAUAAAUUAGACAAGGUAGAUGGAAUUGUAAAAAUAAUACUAGCUGUAGCGUAUGCAGAUUUAGGGCACUUAAAACUUUCUGAUGUAGUAAAGAGGCUAUCUAGACAAGUAGAUUAGGAUAUGAAUAUGAACUAUAUUAAAAAAAUGUAUAAAAUCUUACGUAAAGAUGAAAAUAAUUAUGUAAACAUAGAAAAAAACAGUAUAAAAUCAAGUCAAUUGUAGAAAUUUUCACAUAAAUUCAUCUGAAAUUCUGUAAAAAAUGCCUUAAUUUUAAUGAGGUAAAUCGAGUUUACACAGUCUAAAAAUUACUUAUAUUUAUAAAUUUAUCUUAUUAAUUAAGGAACUUUCUUAAACAUCUUCAAAAAUAAAGUAUUUUAGUCUAUAAUCUUUAAUAUUACACAAACAAUAAAGGAGAAGAAUAGAGUAUGCUUAAAAAGUUUAAUAAAAUACUAGUGGCUAAUAGAGGCGAAAUAGCUAUAAGAAUAUUUAGAGCCUGUUCAGAAUUGGGGAUAAAAAGUGUUGGUAUAUACAGUAAGGAAGAUAAGUAUGGAUUGUUUAGAACAAAAGCGGAUGAAUCAUAUUUGAUAGGAGAAGGUAAAGGGCCAAUAGAUGCAUAUUUAGAUAUGGAUGGAAUAAUAGACCUAGCAAAGAGAAAAAAAGUUGAUGCUAUACAUCCAGGAUAUGGUUUUCUAGCGGAGAAUGCAGAAUUUGCUCGUAAAUGUGAAGAGAAUGGAAUUACUUUUAUAGGACCAUCAUCUAAGGUAAUGAAUAUGAUGGGGGAUAAGAUUAACUCUAAAAAAAUCGCAAAAGAAGUUAAUGUUCAAACUAUACCAGGAGUAGAAAAAGCAAUAAGAAGUACUGAAGAAGCAAAGGAAGUUGCAAACAAAAUAGGAUAUCCUGUUAUGAUAAAAGCAUCUAAUGGCGGUGGCGGUAGAGGUAUGAGAAUUGUACAUCGCGAAGAAGACUUAGAGCUUGAAUAUGAAACUGCUUGUAGUGAAUCAAGAAAAGCUUUUGGAGAAGAUAUUAUAUUUAUAGAAAAAUAUAUAGCUGAUCCAAAACAUAUAGAAGUUCAAAUAUUAGGUGAUAAUUAUGGAAAUAUAGUUCACUUAUAUGAAAGAGAUUGUUCAGUUCAAAGAAGACAUCAAAAAAUAAUAGAAUAUGCACCAGCUUUUUCGUUAGAUGAUAAAGUAAGAAAAGAGAUAUGUGAAGAUGCAGUUAAGUUAUCAAAACAUGUGGGUUAUUCUAAUGCGGGAACAUUAGAAUUUUUAGUAGAUGCAAAUGGUGGGCAUUAUUUUAUAGAGAUGAACACAAGAGUACAGGUUGAACAUACUGUAACAGAGAUGGUUACAGGAAUAGAUAUAGUUCAAAGUCAAAUACUAAUAGCCCAAGGUUACAGCUUAGAUAGUGAAGAAAUUAAUAUAAAAUCACAAGAUGAUGUGGAAAUAAGAGGUUACUC